UCCACCGGAUCCCUACCCCGCCCCGCCGUUCCGCCCCUGAGCGCGACGCCGCGGCUAACCCUAGCCAUGGGGUUCGGCAGGGUCGCCGCCGCAAUUACCUCGCCGCCGCGCCUCCUGCUUCUCCUUUGCCGAGCGACUUGGCGCCGACCGCGACGAGCCCUCGCACGACGCCCUCCUCCUGUCCCGCGCGGAGGGCCCAUGCUUCACCCCGCCGUGGCCGCCCUCGAGGACCGCAGCAUCGCCCGGGACCACGACAUCCAGGGCUUCCCCGUCGACAUCAAUCGGUCCGCAUGGAGCAUCGUCGACUAGACCACCUCGAGGCCGAGGCCCGCACCGUCACCGGCGCCGCGCUUCUUAAAGUCAAGGCUACGCGAUGCUGCUGGGCGUGGAGAGGCGGCGCAAGGACGCCGACACCGGGAACGACGACGUCGGGGAGCAGAAGGAGGAGUACGGCGCGGUGCCCAUGGCCUCCGUCAGAUCCAACUCCGACGCGCACAGAGGAGACACCAUAUCCGAAGAAUACAAGGACGUGGACAUGGUGAGCACCAUGUCAGGAUCAUCGUCCUCAUUAGAUACCGGCAGAGGACACCGAUCGCGAGACGCCCACUCUAUGGGCUCGAGGUUCAGGCUGCCCGAGGAGGACUCGUGUGACUCCUAGAGCGUGGCAUCCAACUUUGAGUUCCACAAGGAGCGAGGGGCCUCCGCUCGGUCGGCGCCAGCAGCGGCGGUUCCGCCGUUCUCGAAGCACCCACCCUCGAAGUGGGACGAUGCCUAGAAAUGGAUCGUCGGCCCGACGACGAACCGUCCUAGUAGGGCCAGCAAUGGAGCUUUCCCGAGGAAGAUGGAGAAGAGUGGUUUUGGUGGUGGGAGGCUGCCGGCAACAAAGGUUGUGCUGGAGGCAACAAAGGUUGUGCUACUGUUAAGGAGUUUUCUUUGUCACUUUCAACAGUUUGGUUAAUGUCCAAGCUUCAUUCCUUAGCCUUAAGUACUCUGAGGAGGUACAUGGAACUCCUCCUUCAGUUCAGACCUGACAUGCCCAACAAAUUAUUGAACUCUGAUUUUCAUAUGUUGUUCAACCUUUACUCUACCCACUACAGUUUUAAUGUUUCCUCAACAUUCAUUUAGGCCUCUUUCCUGUCUCACCAUUUGAAAUGAUGACAGAAACUCAGCGUAUAUUGGAUAUUUAAAAAAUUGUGUACAGUAGCACUAGAGCUUGAUUUUACCCAGAUUAGUAUGUCAUAAUAUAAUUUAUUGGGCUUCUUCUUGGGCUAUGUACGGUUGCUUUGGUUAAUCAGAAGUCCAAAAGUGAAGUAUAACCUAAUGGAACUACAACAAAUGAACUUUGGUAAAUACCUUGCCACUACAUUUUUCUAUUAGUGUGUUUAUUAUAGUAGGGCCGUCUUUUCCAGCUGGUUUUUUAAUUCAUGCACCAAGGUAAUCACUAUUUGUUUCAAUGGAACUUGCAGGUUCUACAUUUUCCCGCAAAGUGAUCCCACACGACAUAAUUGUCAAGCUAGGCCUCACUAUUUAUUCAGAAGGAUUACAUGAUAUGCCUAUUUAAUCACCGUAAUAGAUUUUUCCUAUGAAAAUUCGUGUCCCCGUCCAUGAAAGACAGAGGAGAUGUCUUCUUUAUAGUAGGUUGACAGUAUAGUUGACAAGCUGACAAACAUUUAAUGUCCUGGAAGUUGCAGACUAGAGAUGAUUCCUUUUUAUGCUUGUUUUUGUCUACUUGUACUGGAGAUAGAGAAUUGGGCCAUAGUAUCUUUCCUGUGAAAUGAAAUGCUUAUGCCAUGAAAAAUUAAACUCAAAAUCAUUUGAUGUUUGUUGGUUAACAUGCAUUUGAUUCCUUCUUCCUUUUUCAUCUAAUCCCACCAUACCACCUUUUCUUCUUCUUAGGGUUCUCUUGAAUCCGUUUCAAUUGGUGAAAUAAAACUAAGUUUCCACAUGAGUGUUGUUUGCUUGUUUUUAAUUUCUGUAUGAUAUUAACAUCUAGUGUGUUUAGAAUUGUGUAGACAGUAACAUAAGUGUGUUCCUGUUUACAGACGGAUCUUCUCAAACCAAAGGUAGGAUUGAGAAGAAAAGUCCUUAUUUGCAGGAGCUACAAGACCAAAUGUGUGCAGAGUAAGGGUCGCGGGGAGGAUCCGGCCGAAGAACUCCGAUGAACUAGCUCAUGGCGCCGACUUCGAUAAUAUUGUGGAGUUGCAGCCUGAGGUUAGUAUGUCCGGCCUAUUUUACUCGCUGAGCCCGUGCUUCUUUAUUAGCAUCACCGACAUCAUGGAUUAAAGUUCUUUUGAAAUUUUUGCUCGCUAUUGCAAGUACAUUGUAUAUGAUUGGUGGAUUUUGCAGAUCAUUGUUACUCCAUGGUUGAGAGGAGAGAUUCCUGUUGCAUAGUUAGCACUAUAUUAUAAUAGAUCACAUGAUUAGUCCACCUACAAAAGUGAUGCCAUAAACUUGUUAAUUUGGUAUAUGUAAAGUGAGUUAUCUGAAUUUGUGAAAAAUCUCUCUGCUGUUUGCUAAGAAAUUUAACUGUAGCUUUACGGGCUUGGCUAGUCGAUUCUAUGUAGUUCCCUUUUGUUUGAGAUUUUGGAAUGUAGACAGAGGCACGCUGAUGAUAGCUGAGUCCGCACGCUGAUGAAAUUAUAUCUCGUAUUAGUGAUAAUGUUUUUUCUUUCUUUUAUCCGCAAGUUCUGUUUGUUCUGGGUGGCAGGGAAGGGUGGGGAUGACGCUCUCCAAGUGCUGGAUCUGAAGGCCGGAGGUUGAGGUAAUGCCCCAGUAUUAUUAUUUUGUGGAUCGGCUCCACCAACGCCUCACCAAGGCGAAGAUAUUCGAGGAGUACACAAUUCCUUGAUUAUUGGCAGUAGUGCUCCAAAUUUCUAUAUGUGGUACUUUAUACGGUAAUAUUAGCUUGCUGUUAUGCAUGGCUAGCUCACAAUACAUUUAGUUGAGCAUAUGCAACAGGAGUAUCGUACUACAAGUUGAUUGCUGCAUUGAACUAAGCCCUUGCUGAAUAUAUGUAUUAGUGAUGUAAAAUGUUAUCUAGCCAUUAUUUGCAUUAGAAAUUAGAAAAUAUAUUUAUGUAGCCUUUCAAAGGUUUAUGAACUGCCGAGUGAUGUGCUCUUUUUUUGUUCUUAUUAUUUCUUGGUGAAUGUUAACUAAUGGACUGCUAAGUAUGUAGGAAAAAAAGACAAAACACCAGUUCUGUAUUUCAUUGCCUGUUCUAAGCUGCUAAGUUUUUGUGUUGUUGCCACUUAGGUACAUGGUUGUUGAAGAACAUAGGUAGUGCAUCCUAAUAUAUUGGUUUUUACAAAAAAUACGUUUUUGGUAUAUCCUCUUAGUUAGAUAGUACAUCAUACUGACUUGGAGGUCCUUCAUCCAGUGCCACACACAUAUUGAAAUCCGGCCGGGGCCAUAUCAUAACACACUCCCAUAAAUUUUAGAAGUUUACCAUAUAUAUCAGUAUCUGGUUCAAAACAGUAAACUUACUCUUAGAAGUUUGCUGCUCAUCACUUUCUCGUGUUCCCAUGUAGAAUGUUGAAUUAGCUCUUAUUCCCUAUUAACUGACUCUGAUUUAUUACAACUUUUUACUAAAUCAGAAUCAAUUAAUAGGGAACACAGGGAGUACUUGCUUGCUUAUAUCACACCCUUUUCAUGCUACCCCCUACAAAAAAAGAUUGGCAAUUGAAAUUCUUUGGACAGU